rnacentral:tRNA from 5 species
UGCGGGGUGGAGCAGUGGUAGCUCGUCGGGCUCAUAACCCGAAGGUCGUAGGUUCGAGUCCUGCCCCCGCUA